rnacentral:rRNA from 1 species
AUGCACAUCCUUCAGAGCUUCGGCGAUGCCUCGGGCCUCCGGAUCAACCUUGCCAAAUCCACGGCCACGCCGAUCCACUGCAACGACAUCGACUUAGAGCUAGUUCUUCAAGCGUUUGGCGGCCCGAUUGCCCAUUUCCCAAUUAGAUAUCUAGGUCUGCCGAUCACCACGGGCCGGCUACGUCUAGUUCACCUACAGUUCAUCCUUGACCGUAUCAGGGCCCGGCUUGCAGGAUGGAAGGGACGAAUGAUGUCCAUGGCAGGCAGGCGCGUCCUUGUUCGCUGCGUUCUCUCGGCCCUACCUACCUUUGCCCUCACAGCGCUGCGGGUCCCCAAGAAGCUCCUGAAGGAAAUUGACAAGCACAAGCAACGGUUUCUCUGGGGGAAGGAUCAAGAGCUCUCCGGUGGCAGCUGCAAGGUUAACUGGGAAUGGGUGUGUUCCCUGAUCGAGCACGGCGGCCUCGGUGUGCUGGACCUUCCCAAGUUCAGUCACGCUCUCCGGCUAAGAUGGCUCUGGCACAGUUGGAAGAAUCCCACUCGCCCUUGGGUUGGAACGGAACCGCCGUGCGAUGACUCGGAUCACGCUCUUUUCAACGCGGCAACGACUGUGGCAAUCGGCAACGGCGGAACGGCAAGCUUCUGGAAUUGCUCUUGGCUCGGGCCGGUGCCGCUGAAGUUCUGCUUCCCGUCUCUCUUCAAGCACUCGAGGCGUAAGGGCAGAACUGUGGCACAAGCUAUUGUUAGAGUUAUAGUUACGAUGUCUUUUGGCUUUCUGUAUUUUGGCCUUUGGCCUCCCCUUGUACUUGUAUAUAUAUGUUGGCCUUGGCCUCUAAAUGAUAUCAAGUUGCACAUUCAUAACAUGGUAUCAGAGCCCUAG